UGGCCUCAGCGUCGUCGCCUGGUACGACCGCGGUGCCGGCGAGUGGCGCGUCUUCGACGACGCCUGCCCGCACCUCCUCGCGCCGCUCUCUGAGGGCCGCAUCGACGACAAGGGCCGGCUCCAGGGCGUGUACACGGCUGGUGCAUCAACGGCGCCGGUACCUGCAAGUUCAUCCCCCAGGCCCCCGCCCUCGGCCCACUGGUGCAGAAGAACAGCAAGGCCUGCGUGGCGUCGUACCCCUGCGUGGUGCAGAACAAAACAUCCUGUGGUUCUACCCGAGGGCCGAGCCGGAGCACAAGGAUGUGCUGCAGAGGAAGCCGCCGCCGAUGAUUCCCGAGAUUGAAGACCCGGAGUUCAUCACCGUCUGUGGCAUCAGGGAUCUUCCCUAAUCGGUAUGAUGUUUUGGUAGAGCUGGUGACCAUUUUUAUCAUUUCGGUGUGCUGGUGACGGUGAUCAACAGAGGGAAGAUGU